rnacentral:rRNA from 1 species
GAUCAUGGCUCAGAUUGAACGCUGGCGGCAGGCCUAACACAUGCAAGUCGAACGGUAACAGGAAGAAGCUUGCUUCUUUGCUGACGAGUGGCGGACGGGUGAGUAAUGUCUGGGAAACUGCCUGAUGAGGGGGAUAACUACUGGAAACGGUAGCUAAUACCGCAUAACGUCGCAAGACCAAAGAGGGGGACCUUCGGGCCUCUUGCCAUCGGAUGUGCCCAGAUGGGAUUAGCUAGUAGGUGGGGUAACGGCUCACCUAGGCGACGAUCCCUAGCUGGUCUGAGAGGAUGACCAGCCACACUGGAACUGAGACACGGUCCAGACUCCUACGGGAGGCAGCAGUGGGGAAUAUUGCACAAUGGGCGCAAGCCUGAUGCAGCCAUGCCGCGUGUAUGAAGAAGGCCUUCGGGUUGUAAAGUACUUUCAGCGGGGAGGAAGGGAGUAAAGUUAAUACCUUUGCUCAUUGACGUUACCCGCAGAAGAAGCACCGGCUAACUCCGUG